rnacentral:rRNA from 1 species
GACGAACGCUGGCGGCGUGCUUAACACACGCAAGUCGAACGGAAAGGCCCUGCUUUUGUGGGGUGCUCGAGUGGCGAACGGGUGAGUAACACGUGAGUAACCUGCCCUUGACUUUGGGAUAACUUCAGGAAACUGGGGCUAAUACCGGAUAGGAGCUCCUGCUGCAUGGUGGGGGUUGGAAAGUUUCGGCGGUUGGGGAUGGACUCGCGGCUUAUCAGCUUGUUGGUGGGGUAGUGGCUUACCAAGGCUUUGACGGGUAGCCGGCCUGAGAGGGUGACCGGCCACAUUGGGACUGCGAUACGGCCCAGACUCCUACGGGCGGCAGCAGUGGGGAAUAUUGCACAAUGGGCGGAAGCCUGAUGCAGCAACGCGGCGUGCGGGAUGACGGCCUUCGGGUUGUAAACCGCUUUCGCCUGUGACGAAGCGUGAGUGACGGUAAUGGGUAAAGAAGCACCGGCUAACUACGUG